rnacentral:rRNA from 1 species
CAGUCGCCGCGGUAAUACAGAGGGUGCGAGCGUUAAUCGGAUUUACUGGGCGUAAAGCGUGCGUAGGCGGCUUUUUAAGUCGGUUGUGAAAUCCCUGAGCUUAACUUAGGAAUUGCAUUCGAUACUGGGAAGCUAGAGUAUGGGAGAGGAUGGUAGAAUUCCAGGUGUAGCGGUGAAAUGCGUAGAGAUCUGGAGGAAUACCGAUGGCGAAGGCAGCCAUCUGGCCUAAUACUGACGCUGAGGUACGAAAGCAUGGGGAGCAAACAGGAUUAGAGACCCCGGUAGUCCUGUCUCUUAUACA